rnacentral:rRNA from 1 species
GCUUGCACCUUUCAAGCGAGUGGCGAACGGGUGAGUAACACGUGGAUAACCUGCCUCAAGGCUGGGGAUAACAUUUGGAAACAGAUGCUAAUACCGAAUAAAACUUAGUAUCGCAUGAUAUCAAGUUAAAAGGCGCUACGGCGUCACCUAGAGAUGGAUCCGCGGUGCAUUAGUUAGUUGGUGGGGUAAAGGCUUACCAAGACGAUGAUGCAUAGCCGAGUUGAGAGACUGAUCGGCCACAUUGGGACUGAGACACGGCCCAAACUCCUACGGGAGGCUGCAGUAGGGAAUCUUCCACAAUGGGCGCAAGCCUGAUGGAGCAACGCCGCGUGUGUGAUGAAGGCUUUCGGGUCGUAAAGCACUGUUGUAUGGGAAGAAAUGCUAAAAUAGGGAAUGAUUUUAGUUUGACGGUACCAUACCAGAAAGGGACGGCUAAAUACGUGCCAGCAGCCGCGGUAAUACGUAUGUCCCGAGCGUUAUCCGGAUUUAUUGGGCGUAAAGCGAGCGCAGACGGUUGAUUAAGUCUGAUGUGAAAGCCCGGAGCUCAACUCCGGAAUGGCAUUGGAAACUGGUUAACUUGAGUGUUGUAGAGGUAAGUGGA